rnacentral:rRNA from 1 species
UGAUCCAAUAGCGUAUAUUAAAGUUGUUGCGGUUGAAAAGCUCGUAGAUGGCUUUCUGCUGAGGGUGGCUGGGCCGCCCUCUGGGCGAGUAUCUGGCACAGCCUGAUCAUAUUUCUGUAGGGCGUAACUGCACUUGACUGUGUGGUGCGGCAUCGAGAAGUUUUACUUUGAGGAAAUCAAAGUGUUUCAAUCAGGUGUUUGUUUUGAAUACAUUAGCAUGACAUAAUGAUAUAGGACAUUGGCUCUAUUUUGUUGGUUUCUAGGACUGAGGUAAUGAUUCAUAGGGAUAGUUGGGGCAUUUGUAUUUAAUUGUCAGAGGUGAAAUUCUUGGAUUUGUUAAAGACGGAAUAUUGCGAAAGCAUUUGCCAAGGAUGUUUUCA